AUGAGUCUGCUUUUUUUCUUCUGGCUCCUUCUAGUGUUGAUUCUUUUCUUCUUCAAAAAUUCUAUUUCUGUUGAAGGCUAUGCAAAAUCUCAAAACUUUAGAACUGAUUCUAACUCAAAGUUAAGUGCUGUUCAAGGUAAAACAACUUCAACAAAGAAUUCAGGUGUACAAGGAAGUGAAGACGUUCUUGCUGAUGAGAAGAGGAAAAUCUACACUGGUCCUAAUCCUUUACAUAACAGAUAA